rnacentral:rRNA from 1 species
UGGGGAAUUUUGGACAAUGGGCGAAAGCCUGAUCCGGCAAUGCCGCGUGUGUGAAGAAGGCCUUCGGGUUGUAAAGCACUUUUGUCCGGAAAGAAAUCCUUGGCUCUAAUACAGUCGGGGGAUGACGGUACCGGAAGAAUAAGCACCGGCUAACUACGUGCCAGCAGCCGCGGUAAUACGUAGGGUGCAAGCGUUAAUCGGAAUUACUGGGCGUAAAGCGUGCGCAGGCGGUUUGCUAAGACCGAUGUGAAAUCCCCGGGCUCAACCUGGGAACUGCAUUGGUGACUGGCAGGCUAGAGUAUGGCAGAGGGGGGUAGAAUUCCACGUGUAGCAGUGAAAUGCGUAGAGAUGUGGAGGAAUACCGAUGGCGAAGGCAGCCCCCUGGGCCAAUACUGACGCUCAUGCACGAAAGCGUGGGGGAGCAAAACAGGAUUAGAUACCCUGGUAGUCCACGCCCUAAACGAUGUCAACUAGUUGUUGGGGAUUCAUUUCCUUAGUAACGUAGCUAACGCGUGAAGUUGACCGCCUGGGGGAGUACGGUCGCAAGAUUAAAACUUAAAUGAAUUGACGGGGUCAUAGCUGUUUCCU